rnacentral:rRNA from 1 species
UACAGAGGUCCCGAGCGUUGUUCGGAUUCAUUGGGCGUAAAGGGCGCGUAGGCGGCUUGAUAAGCGUGCGGUGAAAGCCCGGGGCUCAACCCCGGGUCGGCCGUGCGAACUGUCGAGCUGGAGCACUGUAGAGGCAGGUGGAAUUCCGGGUGUAGCGGUGGAAUGCGUAGAGAUCCGGAAGAACACCGGUGGCGAAGGCGGCCUGCUGGGCAGUGGCUGACGCUGAGGCGCGACAGCGUGGGGAGCAAACAGG